rnacentral:rRNA from 1 species
UACGUAGGGUGCAAGCGUUGUCCGGAAUUAUUGGGCGUAAAGAGCUCGUAGGCGGUUCGUCGCGUCGGCUGUGAAAAUCCCGAGGCUCAACCUCGGGUCUGCAGUCGAUACGGGCGGACUGGAGUUCGGCAGGGGAGACUGGAAUUCCUGGUGUAGCGGUGAAAUGCGCAGAUAUCAGGAGGAACACCGGUGGCGAAGGCGGGUCUCUGGGCCGAUACUGACGCUGAGGAGCGAAAGCGUGGGGAGCGAACAGG